GAUGAAGAACGUAGCGAAAUGCGAUAAGUAAUGUGAAUUGCAGAAUUCAGUGAAUCAUCGAAUCUUAGAACGCACAUUGCGCCCGCUAGUAUUCUGGCGGGCAUGCCUGUCCGAGCGUCAUUUCAACCCUCAAGCCCCCGGGCUUGGUGUUGGGGAUCGGCGAGCCUCCGCGCCCGCCGUCCCCUAAAUCUAGUGGCGGUCUCGCUGUAGCUUCCUCUGCGUAGUAGCACACCUCGCGCUGGGAAACAGCGCGGCCACGCCGUUAAACCCCCAACUUCUGAACGUUUGACCUCGGAUCAGGUAGGAAUACCCGCUGAACUUAAGCAUAUCAAUAAGCGGAGGA
rnacentral:misc_RNA from 1 species